UGGAAAUGAUGAAAUAGAGAUAAUUGGGUGUUGAAUGUUGUAUGACUGGAGAUUUUUAAUAUGUUAGUUAAGUAGUUCUUAGGUUAUUUUAUAGAUACCUAAGAGAGAGUGUGUGCAUGUGUGUGUGCUUGUGGUGGCUACGGAAAGGGGGCACUGACUGGUGAUGCUGAUAUUGGAGUGCAUCUGAGGCUGUUGUAGAAAUAACAUGGUCUGUUGAUUACAACAUUGCCGAUGAUUAUAACCCAAGAACAGCUCACCUAACUAGCCCAGCACCCUAAAGUCUCUAACAGGUUCAUUAAACAUGGUCCUGUGAUCUGAUCCAA
rnacentral:snoRNA from 1 species